CAGACAGGCCAGGAGACAGCGCGCCGGCCCCGCCCCGCUCCGCCCCGGAAGUAAAGUGCCUCCGCCACGGCCCCGCCCCCCGACCCGGAACGUAAACACAGGCGCAGGUGUGGCAUGGCGGCAGCGGGGCUCUCCAGCAAAGCCUAGUUCCCCGCGGGUCGGCAUAGCCCUCGAGGAGUCCCCAAACGUUUUGGGAGCACCAGGAUGCGGUGGGGAUCGGUCACGCCGGGCCCCGGGUCUCCUAGGGCUCACAGCUCUGUCAGGCGCUAGGCACUUCACAAGAUCACGAGUGCCAGAGAAGGUCUUGAUCCACCGUUGAAAACAGUCAGCUGAGGACCAAGCCCCAUCAGGAAAUGGAGCCAGAAUCCCAGGCCAGCUAUUUGUCACUCCACAGCCUCAUCCUCUUCCUACAACAUUGCCUCUCACCAGGUGAUCUCUACCCCCCAGGAAUUUACCUUUAAGAAAACCACUCAAUAGCAGCCAAGAGCUCUUUGGAGAAGCAUGUACUGCAGCAUUACUUAUAAUAAUGAAUAAGUGGAAAGCACCCAGAGCCUGAGCACAGAAGAACAGGGAAGCAAAUCUUGGCCCAUCACAUAGGAUUCUCUUGCAGUUGUUGAAACGCUAAAAGACUACUAUGAAAGCAUGAGGAAAUUCCAGCGAUAAUGCAAUAAGUAAAAAAAAGCUCCAGGCAAAAUGGUCUCUCUACCAUGAUGACAAUUGUGUCAAAAUAUGGCAAAUGAAAGAAAAAUUAUUAUAUUUUAUCUGAUUGAAAACAAUAGCAUGUCCAAUCCCAUAUAACGUAUGUAAAUACACACUAAAGAUUGUAAACACUGUAAAUUAAAGAAAUAUGGCAAACGAGAA